UACGUAGGUGGCAAGCGUUACUCGGAAUUACUAGGCGUAAAGCGCAGGUAGGUGGUUGGGUAAGUCCUAAAUGAAAUCUCCCGGCUUAACUGGGAGGGGUUUUAGGAUACUGCCUGGCUGGAGUGUGGCAGAGGGUGCUGGAAUUCCCGGUGUAGCGGUGAAAUGCGUAGAGAUCGGGAGGAACACCGGUGGCGAAGGCGGUGCUCUGGGCCAGUACUGACGCUGAGGAGCGAAAGCGUGGGUAGCAAACAGG
rnacentral:rRNA from 1 species